AGAUUGAACGCUGGCGGCAGGCCUAACACAUGCAAGUCGAGCGGUAGAGAGGUGCUUGCAUCUCUUGAGAGCGGCGGACGGGUGAGUAAUGCCUAGGAAUCUGCCUAGUGGUGGGGGAUAACGUUCGGAAACGGACGCUAAUACCGCAUACGUCCUACGGGAGAAAGCGGGGGACCUUCGGGCCUCGCGCCAUUAGAUGAGCCUAGGUCGGAUUAGCUAGUUGGUGAGGUAAUGGCUCACCAAGGCGACGAUCCGUAACUGGUCUGAGAGGAUGAUCAGUCACACUGGAACUGAGACACGGUCCAGACUCCUACGGGAGCAGCAGGUGGGGAAAUAGUUGGACAAGUGGGGACG
rnacentral:rRNA from 1 species